rnacentral:rRNA from 1 species
AUACCAGCACCCCGAGUGGUCGGGACGAUUAUUGGGCCUAAAGCAUCCGUAGCCGGUUCUACAAGUCUUCCGUUAAAUCCACCUGCUUAACAGAUGGGCUGCGGAGGAUACUAUGGAGCUAGGAGGCGGGAGAGGCAAGCGGUACUUAGUGGGUAGGGGUAAAAUCCGUUGAUCCAUUGAAGACCACCAGUGGCGAAGGCGGCUUGCCAGAACGCACUCGACGGUGAGGGAUGAAAGCUGGGGGAGCAAACCGGAUUAGAUACCCGGGUAGUCCCAGCUGUAAACGAUGCAGACUCGGUGAUGAAUAGGCUUCGUGCCUAUUCAGUGCCGCAGGGAAGCCGUUAAGUCUGCCGCCUGGGGAGUACGGUCGCAAGACUGAAACUUAAAGGAAUUGGCGGGG